UACGGAGGGGGCUAGCGUUGUUCGGAAUUACUGGGCGUAAAGGGCUCGUAGGCGGCCAACUAAGUCAGACGUGAAAUCCCCAGGCUCAACCUGGGAACUGCGUCUGAUACUGGAUGGCUUGAAUUCGGGAGAGGGAUGCAGAAUUCCAGGUGUAGCGGUGAAAUGCGCAGAUAUCAGGAAGAACACCCGUGGCGAAGGCGGCUCUCUGGGCCGUAACUGACGCUGAGGAGCGAAAGCGUGGGGAGCGAACAGG
rnacentral:rRNA from 1 species